GCCCCGGUAGUUCAGUUGGUUUAGAACAGCGGACUCUUAAUCCGUAUGUCGUGAGUUCAAGUCUCACUCGGGGUAC
rnacentral:tRNA from 5 species